UGUAGGAGGUACAGCAGCAUCCUUGGUCUCCACCCACUAGAUGCCAGUAGCACUCCAAGCUGUGAAGAUGGAACAGUCUCAAGACAUUGCCAGGCUCAUAGGCAGAAGAAACUAGCCUUAUUUCAGAUGAGACUUUGGACUAUGGACUUUUGAAUUAAUACUGAAUUAGUUAAGACUUUGGGGUACUGUUCAUUGCACUUUGAAAUGUGAGAAGGACAUGAGAUUUGGGAGGGGCCAGGAGUGGAAUGAUAUGGUUUGUAUCUGUGUCCCCACCCAAAUCUCAGGUUGAAAUGUAAUCCCUAAUACUAGAGGUGGGGCCUGGUGAGAGGUGAUUGGAUCAUGGGUGCAGUUUCUCAUGAUUAACAUGAUCUUCAUUUGUGCUGUUGUUGUGAUAGUGAGUUCUCAUGAUGUGGUUGUUUAAAAAUGUGUGGCACCUCCCCCCUUCUCUGUCUUCCUCCUGCUCUGGCCAUGUAAGAUGAGCUUGUUUCUCCUUUGCCAUCUGCCAUGUUUGUAAGUUUCCUGUGGAACCCUGAGCCAAU
rnacentral:lncRNA from 1 species